UUAAGUGGACACUUCAGGAUGCAAAGGCCCAGGAUUGCUCACGCUACUGAAAGUGCUAUCAAAAUAUCUGACACUGCCAAGCAACUAAAAGCAUGUAAAUAGGGCAUGUGGCAUCCAGUACAAUGUCUGCCUGGCAACAGACCAGAAAGACAAGAUGGGUAAGACCCACAACUAGUCUUUCAGGUACAACAAUGGUUCAUCAACAAGGACAAUGGACCAUGGAAGAGCUUAGCCUUCCUGUGAACAUUUCAGCCAGCCAAUGAGUAAUGGCUGCUAUGACUCAGCAAGACAUGCAAGGGCAUGUGACCAGGCCACAUGACACUGAACUCCAUUUUGGUACCUGUAUUUUUCCACAAACUAGGCUGGGAACUUAGCUUUGAAAAAAGGGCUCCAGCCAUAUGGAAAAACUAUAUAAGGUGGGGAGUGACAUCAUCUCAGGGCCUCACUCCCCACACAAGGGAACACCUGGAAACACCUGAGGAACAAAGACUGAACUGGGGUAAGUGCUGGUCACAGGCUAAAGGGAUUUCUAGCCUGUGUAUGGAAACUUGGUGGACUUCUUGUAUCAGUCAGGGUGAGAAAUUGCUAAUUCAAAUCCUAUCUAGUAUAUCAGGCUUAGUUUGCAGUUUAUUUAUUUAUUUGCUAGGUAAUCUGUUUGCUGUUUGAUCUGCUUGCUGUCAUUAUAAUCACUUAACAACUUUUUGUAGUUAAUAAACUUGUUUUAUGUUAA